UGCUUGCUUUGGCAGCACGUAACUAAAAUUGGAAUGACAGAGAAGAUUAGCAUGGACCUUGCACAAGGAUGAUACAGAAACUUAUGAAAAGAAAAAAAAUAGA